UCUGUUGUAGUCUAGUUGGUUAGGAUACCCGAUUCUCACCCGAGAGACCCAGGUUCAAGUCCUGACAAUGGAA
rnacentral:tRNA from 1 species